rnacentral:rRNA from 1 species
GGGAAUAUUGGACAAUGGGCGAAAGCCUGAUCCAGCAAUGCCGCGUGGAUGAAGAAGGUUUUCGGAUUGUAAAGUCCUUUCGGCGGGGACGAUGAUGACGGUACCCGCAGAAGAAGCCCCGGCUAACUUCGUGCCAGCAGCCGCGGUAAUACGAAGGGGGCUAGCGUUGCUCGGAAUGACUGGGCGUAAAGGGCGCGUAGGCGGUAUGGACAGUCAGGUGUGAAAUUCCCGGGCUUAACCUGGGGACUGCAUUUGAUACGUUCAAACUAGAGUGUGGAAGAGGGUCGUGGAAUUCCCAGUGUAGAGGUGAAAUUCGUAGAUAUUGGGAAGAACACCGGUGGCGAAGGCGGCGACCUGGUCCAUUACUGACGCUGAGGCGCGAAAGCGUGGGGAGCAAAC